UCUCUGUCUCCCACCUGUGCUUUAAUACAGCACACAAAGGAAGAUGGGAAUCCAGGGCAACACUGAGUCUUCUUCAUAUUUCCACUGCUGGUGUAAGGUUUCCGAUGACAAAGCUGAUAAUGGAGACCACAGCGUGGAAAGACCUUCCAAGGAGGUAGAACGCCAGGAGCAGUCUGCAGUUUUGUUCAAUGCCUUCAUACCAACCACUUCCCAGCGGCACAGAGCAGCAGCGAAGACCGACAUGCCUGCUGGUUCCUGUGUUCUUACUGUGACCCAUCUACUCUGGACCUUCGCAGCAUCUUCAGAGGCGAGACAUUAGGUCAGAAGUGACUGAUAGACUAUGACAGUCCAAGCUUUCAUGUAGUGCUCUUCAUAGACAGAGGGAUGGAUCAGCUACACCAGCUUCCACGCAUUUCCAUCCAUCUCCCAGUCACUUAUUUAGUGCUGGGUUCUCAAAGGGGACCUGGAGUCUGUCCCCAGCAGCACAGGCUGGAAAGAGAAGCAGAAGAAGCAAGCCCAGACACCCCUGGAGGAGCGAUGCAGCAUGGCGUCCACAAUGCAUCCAUUUGUAUAAAUAAACGGUUCCCAACCCCGUCCUUCGGAA